GUGUUUCUAAGCCUGAGAAGAUCCACGAUCUCCGUGAGUGGGUACUUUAGAUGGGUACAUUCAGGUGGUGGCAAUAUCGAGGAGAAUCUGAAGAUUUCGGAGCAAGCUGAAAAGAAACAGUUCUAAACUAACUUCUUCAAGAGCAUACAAGGCUUUCCUUUUGCUUCAGAGAAAAGUAGUAAAUCUGCAAAAGAAAUUUUCGUGGAGGUCACCAAAUUUAUAAGGUAGCAAGUUCUCAUCUCUGCUGAGUCCAGUGGCUUGGAAGAAGUCAGGAAAGUCAAAGUUCUCUAUGGAUUUCCCAUUUAUGUCACAUUCUUCUAUUUUUAGAUGAUUUGAUUUGCAUGUCUCAACACUGAAAGACCAGUACUUAAUUUAUUACCUUUCAGAAUUCUGACAAUUUCAGAGUCAGAGAGCUUGUUUUGUUCCUUGCUUCUUUUCUGUACAAAAGGAGCUCAAUUAAACCAUAAAAGAAUCAAUUUUUACCGAUUAAUUAAAAAAGGUUGCUAUGAUGUGAAGUCUAUUUUAGGAUGUAACACAGCAUGUAGAAGAUCAGUAGGAAUGUAAUAACCUUGCUGGUAAGGAAGAUAUGGUAGAGUGAUAACUUAUCAGAAACAAAACCAUUAGCGUGGCAGCUAAAAUGGGCCAGAAAAUUAAGCCCGUUUCUGAAUUUACAAAAAAAAAAAACCAACCUGUGCUUCAGCACUUGGAUAACAGCUUCCUAUACUAGUGAGCCAUGUAAAGGCUCUGAAUUUUAAAACUCAUGCUGUCCAUCAUCAUGUUCUGGAGCUAAAGACAUAGUGUAGUAGUUACUUACAAAGUUACCCGAAAGGUGAAAAUCUUUGUUUGUUGUUGCCUUUGUAAAAGUGCGUGCAGAGCAAAUUCUGCAGUUUUCUUGCACUUUAAGUAACCAGAUCAGAGAUUCUGCUGCUGAGGAUUGUGAUCUUUUCACUACCAGUCAAUGACACUGAGCAAGACAGUACCAAAGAGUGACAUGAAAGGGAAAAGACUUGGCACCUAUUUCUUAUAUUUGCUUUCAUGUUUUCAUGCCAAGCGGCUUACAGAAGUCUUUAGCUAUUCAUGUGGGAAUUUUGUUUGAAUGUUAAUAAGAGAGCAUGAUAUCCUCACUGUAACAAGUGUUCAUACAAAAACUGUUUUAUACCAAACAUUUAACACAACUCAUUCAUCAUCUCUUAGUGAUGAUGCAAACUAUGUUUAUGUGGCAAAUAAAGGCUCCUUUGUUUGAUG
rnacentral:lncRNA from 7 species